CCGAUGGAGGGGGAUAACUACUGGAAACGGUAGCUAAUACCGCAUAACGUCGCAAGACCAAAGAGGGGGACCUUCGGGCCUCGCGCCAUCAGAUGAACCCAUAUGGGAUUAGCUAGUAGGUAAGGUAACGGCUUACCUAGGCGACGAUCCCUAGCUGGUCUGAGAGGAUGAUCAGCCACACUGGGACUGAGACACGGCCCAG
rnacentral:rRNA from 1 species